UACGUAGGGUGCAAGCGUUGUCCGGAAUUAUUGGGCGUAAAGGGCUCGUAGGCGGUCUGUCGCGUCGGGAGUGAAAACUCAGGGCUUAACCCUGAGCCUGCUUCCGAUACGGGCAGACUAGAGGUAUGCAGGGGAGAACGGAAUUCCUGGUGUAGCGGUGGAAUGCGCAGAUAUCAGGAGGAACACCGGUGGCGAAGGCGGUUCUCUGGGCAUUACCUGACGCUGAGGAGCGAAAGUGUGGGGAGCGAACAGG
rnacentral:rRNA from 1 species